CCAUGCCGCGUGUGUGAUGAAGGCCUUAUGGUUGUAAAGCACUUUAAGCGAGGAGGAGGUACUUUAGUUAAUACCUAGAGAUAGUGGACGUUACCCGCAGAAUAAGCACCGGCUAACUCUGUGCCAGCAGCCGCGGUAAUACAGAGGGUGCAAGCGUUAAUCGGAUUUACUGGGCGUAAAGCGCGCGUAGGCGGCUAAUUAAGUCAAAUGUGAAAUCCCCGAGCUUAACUUGGGAAUUGCAUUCGAUACUGGUUAGCUAGAGUGUGGGAGAGGAUGGUAGAAUUCCAGGUGUAGCGGUGAAAUGCGUAGAGAUCUGGAGGAAUACCGAUGGCGAAGGCAGCCAUCUGGCCUAACACUGACGCUGAGGUGCGAAAGCAUGGGGAGCAAACAGGAUUAGAUACCCUGGUAGUCCAUGCCGUAAACGAUGUCUACUAACCGUUGGGGCCUUUGAGGCUUUAGUGGCGCAGAUAACGCGAUAAGUAGACCGCCUGGGGAGUACGGUCGCAAGACUAAAACUCAAAUGAAUUGACGGGGGGCCGCACAAGCGGUGGAGCAUGUGGUUAACUUCGAUGCAACGCGAAGAACCUUU
rnacentral:rRNA from 1 species